UGUUGCCCAGUGACUUGGAGACGCAGUCUUUAUACCAGCAGGUGCCCCACACCAGGUGCGAAACUUGCACAGCUGUAUAAAAGUGGCUGAAGACUUUGUAUCCCCAGAAAACAUUGUUCACUGCUUCAGCUUGACCAAUGAGUUCCGUCAGUUGUCUGACACCCACACGAACCAUGAGGACAAGCUCCAGAUUAAAAAUGUGGUCUACCAUGCUGUGAAGGAUGCUUUGGCGAUUCUAAAGGCAAAUCCUGCUUUAGACCCCAAGAAAUGAAAUGUGUGCGGCAUAGGCUGAGGAUCUCAAAAAAAAAAAAAAGUUGGACCUCCCUUCAACUUUCAAGGGAUCUUCGGCCUGCGCUUCUCUUGGAUGUGUCUGGCAGGUCUUAACUUGCCAACCGAAGGUGUUUCCGCCAUCUCCUGUCUGGACACAUUUUGUACAUUUUUUUCUCUUCCCAUCAGAGUGCCAGCCAACGUGUGUGUGUUCUCCUGUAAUAUGAACCAUUGAAUUUCAGUUGUUGCUAGUACGCUUCCCUUAUUGUUACUUUGUCAGGGGCCAGCCGUACUUGUUUUGUAAAAGAAUCGGAUCAAACUUGCUUGCAAGUGUGUGUGUGUCUGUGUGUGUACACGAGUGUUGUGGGCACCAACAGCUGUUAAUUAUGUUGUAGACUUCUCUGCGCCCCUCCUUGACAAUUGUCUUGCCAGCUAUGUUCAGCAUUUUUUCAGAGCAGCACGCUUUGAGAGACAAUAACAAUGCAUACAUUUUCUGCACUGUUGCCAUGUAAAAUAGAAGUGUUGUACUUAUAUAUACUUAAGAAGGUAUAUAUAAAUGCAUAUAUCUACUUAUAAAUAUUACAUUGUAGUUGCUUCUGUUCUGUUGCUACUUUAACUCCUUUAGUUUCCUGUGUUUCUUUGUUUUCAUUGUUUUUCCACAAUCACCAUCUCAUCGGUGUAGUCAAUUCCAUUGAUUAUUGUUAUUUUAAGACUCACAGUAGUACUGAGUUUGUACAUGUAUCUAUUCCAUAGCAAUAUUUUUAUAUUGAAAAUGUGAUUGACUGUAAUGUCAGUCUAUAAUGAAAAUCACUGUUUUUAUUUGAAGGUGUUUGGCUGAUGUUAAUGGUUCCAAAUAAAUUGUUCAUUUGUAAGCC